rnacentral:lncRNA from 10 species
GGUUGGUUGAAUCCACAGAUGCAGAAGCCACUGUUGUGGAGGCCACAGAUGCAGAGGCCACAGAUGCAGAGGGCCAGCAGUACUCCCUGUGCUUGCUAUGAGUUACUUCCCUCUCCACGGGCUCCCCCAGGCAGCAGGCAGGCUGGGUGCUUCGUGCACUGUGAACCCUGUGCCUAGUCCCUCUCACCUCUGCCCCUCUCC